CGCGUUCUCACAUCUUCUACUUUCGGCUUCACGUCCUCUCAUCAUCAAUGGUGUUCUUCGAGUUCAACAUUCGGCUUCACAUUGUCCAUGCGAUGCGAUUCCAAAUCCCAUACGGGAUGAAUAAAAGUUAGUUACUUUGAAUGAAUUGGAUGUUGCUUCACAUGAGCUUUGGAAUUGCAAAUGGCUCAUGGCUUGCUAAUGGGGGCUGUUUUGCUUUGGGUUUGAAUGCAUUGGUGGCUAUGUUGUAAUGUUAUGUAGAAUGUUGUAAAAGUUUAUGUUUGUAAUGAAUGGUAUAUCAUGGCUUUGUGGUUUAUGUAAUUUGAAUGCAAAUAUAUUUUGGAAUUGGAAUGAAAUAGGAAUUGUAACAUGAUGAACUUGUAUGAAAGUGUCAUUUUGAAUCAAAUGGUUGUAUUGAAAUGUAA